rnacentral:misc_RNA from 1 species
UACGGAGGGUGCAAGCGUUAAUCGGAAUUACUGGGCGUAAAGCGCGCGUAGGUGGCUCGAUAAGCCGGUUGUGAAAGCCCCGGGCUCAACCUGGGAACGGCAUCCGGAACUGUCAAGCUAGAGUACCGGAGAGGAAGGUAGAAUUCCUGGUGUAGCGGUGAAAUGCGUAGAGAGCGGUAGGAAUACCAGUGGCGAAGGCUGCCUUCUGGACUGAUACUGCCACUGAGGUGGGAAAGCGUGGGUAGCAAACAGG